AAAGUUUUCAUCAGUCGAAAUUUGUUUUUUGCUGGAAUUGACAAUGGAAUAUUGAAAACAAAAAUUUUGUGUAUGUGAUGUGCGUGUGUGUUUGUUUGUUUCUGUGUGUGUGUACGUUUGGUUGAUGUAAUCGAUAUCAGAAUCAGCAAUAAUAAUAAUCUUUGUGUUUUUGUCAACGAAAGACAAUAACAAUAACAUCGUAAGAUGAUGUAAUGAGAUUAAUUUUUUUAAAAGUUUCAAACAAACAAACAAAAAUAAUUUUAACACUUACUUACUUACGCCACUCUCACACACAAAUUCACGAAUCUCAUCAACUACCACUGGGUUAUU